rnacentral:rRNA from 1 species
UUCCGGUUGAUCCUGCCGGACCUGACUGCUAUCGGAUUGGUACUAAGCCAUGCGAGUCAUUGUAGCAAUACAAGGCGGACGGCUCAGUAACACGUAGUCAACCUAACUCGUGGACGCGGAUAACCUCGGGAAACUGAGAAUAAACCGCGAUAGAUCAUUAUGCCUGGAAUGGCUUAUGGUCUAAACAGUUUACUGGCAUGGGAUGGGACUGCGGCCUAUCAGCUUGUUGGUGAGGUAAUGGCCCACCAAACCUAUAACCGGUACGGGCUCUGAGAGGAGAAGCCCGGAGAUGGGCACUGAGACAAGGGCCCAGGCCCUAUGGGGCGCAGCAGGCGCGAAACCUCUGCAAUAGGCGAAAGCCUGACAGGGUUACUCUGAGUGAUUUCCGCUAAGGGGAUCUUUUGGCACCUCUAAAAAUGGUGCAGAAUAAGGGGUGGGCAAGUCUGGUGUCAGCCGCCGCGGUAAUACCAGCACCCCGAGUGGUCGGGACGAUUAUUGGGCCUAAAGCAUCCGUAGCCGGUUCUGCAAGUCUUCCGUUAAAUCCAGCCGCUCAACGAUUGGGCCGCGGAGGAUACUACAGGACUAGGAGGCGGGAGAGGCAAGCGGUACUCAGUGGGUAGGGGUAAAAUCCUUUGAUCCAUUGAAGACCACCAGUGGCGAAGGCGGCUUGCCAGAACGCGCUCGACGGUGAGGGAUGAAAGCUGGGGGAGCAAACCGGAUUAGAUACCCGGGUAGUCCCAG